UGGCGGCAAGAGUGAUGAUUCAAUUAGAUGUGUGAAAGGAGAUUUCUUCUUUCUGAACUCAAAUCAUUGAGGCAUAUUAAUUUCCUGACUUGCCACCC
rnacentral:snoRNA from 11 species